AAUGAACAUUGAGGAAAGAUAAAGCUGUGAAACAGAUUGUGGGUUCUGGGCUGGGCUAGUAGAAGGGGAAUAUUGAUUCACAGCAGGCUUAGGGCACUGUUCUGUUUGUGAGGGUUAACCCAUAGGGCUGCACACAGUUAGCUUUUAUGAGAUGAUUUCUCCUAAUGAUGUGGUCCAAGAGGAAUCCUAAACCAUGGGAAAGAUGGACAGUAGAGAACUAAAAUCAACAUCAAACUGCUCAAGACAAUUGGUACCUCAGAAUCUUUUUAAAGAAGGACCAGGGAUAGAGCCAUAACCAGUAUUUCUGAAAUUCAGCUAAGUUGGGUCAAGGGCAGAGUCUAAGUAUAACCAUUUCUACGUAUAGCUAAUGUUGACUGAAGACAGAGGUGAGGGGAAUUGAGGAAGAUAAACAUUUGGGAAGGCCAAUUUAAGAGGGAGCAGGGGUUGGAGUGAAGAAGAUUAUGAGAUAAAAGAUUCUCUUAGCAAGAAGGAUGAACCUUUUGAGCCCUCUGUCAUCAUUCCAUUCCAUUCAGCCAAUCACAGGCCUAAAGUCCUCAGAAGAAGAAAAUGAAAUCAUCUAGAAUGAGAUGGAACCUUAAAAGAAAACAAGGAAAGCUACCUCUUCUCUCUCUGACACCUGCCUCUCCACCAGUCAUCUUUGGUAUUAUCACCUGGAAAAAGUUACUUCCUUUGGUUCCAGCACCCACCUCAGCUUGGGCUGUUAUCAUUUUCCCCAACUAUAUCUCAUCUAGAAAUCCUUCUUGGGAUGCCUGGGAGCCUCCCCCUUUCCCUCUUUCCCAACAGCCACUUGUCCUUUCCCUUUGGCUACCCUUUUUUCUCCCCCACUGGUGGUGGUAUUGGAUAGUUGGUGGAGACCCAACUCAAGACACAGAUCUGAGGAACAUUUAAUCUUAUUUCUACCUGUUUUGAGACUUCUACUGACUUAAUUCAAUAAACUUCUCUCUCAAAUUGUUAAA